AGAGUUUGAUCAUGGCUCAGAUUCAACGCUGGCGGUAUGCUUAACACAUGCAAGUCGAACGGUAACAGUCCCUCACCUAGAAAUUUCUUAAAAAGAGAUUUGUAGGUGAGGGAGCUGACGAGUGGCGGACGGGUGCGUAAUGUAUAGGAAUCUGCCUAGUAGUGGGGGACAACUCGGAGAAAUUCGAGCUAAUACCGCAUAAGCCCUACGGGGGAAAACGGGGGAUCUUCGGACCUCGUGCUAUUAGAUGAGCCUAUAUUAGAUUAGCUUGUUGGUGAGGUAAUGGCUUACCAAGGCGACGAUCUAUAGCUGGUCUGAGAGGAUGAUCAGCCACACUGGGACUGAGACACGGCCCAGACUCCUACGGGAGGCAGCAGUGGGGAAUAUUGGACAAUGGGCGAAAGCCUGAUCCAGCAAUACCGCGUGUGUGAAGAAGGCCUGAGGGUUGUAAAGCACUUUCAAUUGGGAGGAAUACCUAAUAGUUAAUAGCUAUUAGAUUGACA
rnacentral:rRNA from 1 species